rnacentral:rRNA from 1 species
AUGCCGCCGGCAUACGGGUGGCUUCCUAGACAUGACCCGGAUGUGUCCUGCUUUUCCAUGUCACCUCGGGACCUCUCGUCGAAAAUGCACGACUUCAUGUCGGCCGUCCCCGUGGUGCCUGCCCUUGAUCUCAACGCCACACCGAUAGCCAGCCAAUCCACCGGGACGCAAAGGGUGCGCCCAUGGGCGAUCCCCAUUGACAACUUUCCUGACGCCUCCUUCCUAUUCGAUGGUAUGCCAACACCGACGCCGGAUAACACGACGUACUACAACAAUUUCAUCAGAGAGAUGAUCUAUGAGGGUGGCCAAGAGUAUGAUGCCGACAAGACUCAAAGCCAUGACAGCCGCUGCCAAGACACCCAGGACCACCAAGGCCAAGAAGGACUCGACAUCGAGGAUGAACAUUGUUUAAGAGGAGCUACUUAUCAAGCCAAUGCACAAAAGAGGCGACAAAGUGUGAGGGCGGGAGCUACACAAAGGAUGAUGGCAAGUUAA